rnacentral:rRNA from 1 species
AUUGAACGCUGGCGGCAGGCCUAACACAUGCAAGUCGAACGGUAACAGGAAGCAGCUUGCUGCUUCGCUGACGAGUGGCGGACGGGUGAGUAAUGUCUGGGAAACUGCCUGAUGGAAGGGGAUAACUACUGGAAACGGUAGCUAAUACCGCAUAACGUCGCAAGACCAAAGAGGGGGACCUUCGGGCCUCUUGCCAUCGGAUGUGCCCAGAUGGGAUUAGCUAGUAGGUGGGGUAACGGCUCACCUAGGCGACGAUCCCUAGCUGGUCUGAGAGGAUGACCAGCCACACUGGAACUGAGACACGGUCCAGACUCCUACGGGAGGCAGCAGUGGGGAAUAUUGCACAAUGGGCGCAAGCCUGAUGCAGCCAUGCCGCGUGUAUGAAGAAGGCCUUCGGGUUGUAAAGUACUUUCAGCGGGGAGGAAGGCGAUAAGGUUAAUAACCUUGUCGAUUGACGUUACCCGCAGAAGAAGCACCGGCUAACUCCGUGCCAGCCGCCGCCGUAAUAC